rnacentral:lncRNA from 1 species
UAUUCAAUAGAUAUAUAUGGCGUUUUAAUAGAUAUGUAUGUAUGAUGCUUCUCUUGUUGAAAUACUCCCAUCUACCCAUCUAUAUAUGUACAUUAUGCACACAUAUACGUAUAUACACACAACAAUUGGAAUUUAGUAGUAAAUAUCUAUGAAUGAAAAGUACUGUUAAAAACAUUAAUCUUAAAAGGUUUAGCUGAAAUAUAAGUAUAAACCAGGUAUGUUUUGGCUAGACUUGAUUCAAUUACAGUAGGAAAAUCCUCUUCCUCAUGGUUAUGUUUUGUGAGCCGUUAUCAAUGUCUUUUCAGGUUAACAGACAUCAGAAUCCUGAAAGCUGCCUUCGUGGUAUAAUUCUUGACUGGUCUGGGGAAGUCUGCGUCUUAGCAACCAUGAAGACUAAGAGAGCCGCCAUGCAGAAGGAAAAAGAACAGACUGGUGGAUGCAAAUUCUCUCUAGAAAAAGGAAUUAAUUUACUAAGGAAGACCGGAACGGAGGGAGAAGGACAUCACGGCUAG